rnacentral:rRNA from 1 species
UACGUAGGGACCAAGCGUUGUUCGGAUUUACUGGGCGUAAAGCGCACGUAGGCGGGUCGUUAAGUCAGGGGUGAAAUCCCAGAGCUCAACUCUGGAACUGCCUUUGAUACUGGCGACCUAGAGUCCGGAAGAGGUUAGUGGAAUUCCCAGUGUAGAGGUGAAAUUCGUAGAUAUUGGGAAGAACACCAGUGGCGAAGGCGGCUAACUGGUCCGGUACUGACGCUGAGGUGCGAAAGCGUGGGGAGCAAACAGG